rnacentral:rRNA from 1 species
UACGGAGGUUGCAAGCGUUGUUCGGAAUUACUGGGCGUAAAGGGAGCGCAGGCGGUUAGGUCAGUCUGAAGUGAAAGCCCGGGGCUCAACCCCGGAAGGGCUUUGGAUACUGCCUAACUUGAGUACGUGAGAGGAGAGCGGAAUUCCAGGUGUAGCGGUGAAAUGCAUAGAUAUCUGGAGGAACACCGGUGGCGAAAGCGGCUCUCUGGCACGCUACUGACGCUGAGGCUCGAAAGCGUGGGGAGCGAACGGGAUUAGAUACCCGUGUAGU